rnacentral:rRNA from 1 species
CUUUCUCGUAGUUGGAUCUCGGUGCCGGUCUGGCGGUCCGCCUCGCCGCGGUCUCACUGCCAGUCCCGGAGCCAUCCCGCCGGCCUUCCCUCGGUGCUCUUUACCGAGUGUCUUGGGUGACCGGAACGUUUACUUUGAACAAAUUAUAGUGCUCCAAGCAGGCGCGUCCCGCCCGCAUAGCCCAGCAUGGAAUAAUGGAAUAGGACCUCGGUUCUAUUUUGUUGGUUUUCGGAACCCGAGGUAAUGAUUAAUAGGGACAGACGGGGGCAUUCGUAUUGCGACGCUAGAGGUGAAAUUCUUGGACCGUCGCAAGACGAACUACUGCGAAAGCAUUUGCCAAGAAUGUUUUCAUUAAUCCAGAACGAAAGUUAGAGGUUCGAAGGCGAUCAGAUACCGCCCUAGUUCUAACCAUAAACGAUGCCGACCAGCGAUCCGCCGGAGUUCCUCCGAUGACUCGGCGGGCAGCUUCCGGGAAACCAAAGUGUUUGGGUUCCGGGGGAAGUAUGGUUGCUAAGCUGAAACUUAAAGGAAUUUGACGGAAAGGCACCACC